rnacentral:rRNA from 1 species
UACGGAGGGGGCUAGCGUUAUUCGGAAUUAUUGGGCGUAAAGGGCGCGUAGGCGGCCCGGUAAGUCAAAGGUGAAAUCCCUCGGCUCAACUGAGGAACUGCCUUUGAAACUGCCGGGCUCGAGGCCGGGAGGGGGUAGCGGAAUUCCCAGUGUAGCGGUGAAAUGCGUAGAUAUUGGGAGGAACACCGGUGGCGAAGGCGGCUACCUGGACCGGUUCUGACGCUGAUGCGCGAAAGCGUGGGUAGCAAACAGG